rnacentral:rRNA from 1 species
GAUGAACGCUGGCGGCGUGCUUAACACAUGCAAGUCGAACGGAGAGGCCUCUGCUUGCAGGGGUUCUCGAGUGGCUAACGGGUGAGUAACACGUGGGUGAUCUGCCCUGCACUUCGGGAUAAGCCUUGGUAACUGGGUCUAAUACCGGAUAGUACAAUGGUUUGGAUGCCGUUGUGGAACGUUUUUCGGUAUGGGAUGAGAUCUGGGCCUAUCAGCUUGUUGGUGGGGUAAUGGCCUACCAAGCCUUCGACGGGUAGCCGGCCUGAGAGGGUGUACGGCCACAAGGGGACUGAGAGACGGAGCAGAGGGGAACGGGAGGCAGCAGGGGGGAGUAUGGUACAGUGGGGGCAAGUGUGAGAAGGAGACGUCGGGGGGGUGAAGAAGGCCUACGGGUGAGAAACGGAUUAAGGUAGAGACGAAGCGCAAGUGACGGUACCUGGAGAAGAAGCACCGGCUAACUACGUG